rnacentral:rRNA from 1 species
UACGAAGGGGGGCUAGCGUUGCUCGGAAUCACUGGGCGUAAAGGGUGCGUAGGCGGGUCUUUUAAGUCAGGGGUGAAAUCCUGGAGCUCAACUCCAGAACUGUCCUUUGAUACUGAGGAUCUUGAGUUCGGGAGAGGUGAGUGGAACUGCGAGUGUAGAGGUGAAAUUCGUAGAUAUUCGCAAGAACACCAGUGGCGAAGGCGGCUCACUGGCCCGAUACUGACGCUGAGGCACGAAAGCGUGGGGAGCAAACAGG